CUGGGUGAAACACCACCUUUGUACAGUCCAGGAGGCAUGACUCCAUGGACUAAAAAGCCUAAAUAGAAGCCCCUAAUAUAGACUAGAACAGGAAAACCCGAGGUACCUUGAAGGUGGCGAAGGCGUCGGAGGCGAUGUCGAAGGUGGACAUCUCCACGUAGUUGAAGAAGCUGUUGAAA